rnacentral:rRNA from 1 species
UGGGGAAUAUUUCACAAUGGGCGCAAGCCUGAUGCAGCCAUGCCGCGUGUGUGAAGAAGGCCUUCGGGUUGUAAAGCACUUUCAGCGGGGAGGAAGGCGUUAAGGUUAAUAACCUUGGCGAUUGACGUUACCCGCAGAAGAAGCACCGGCUAACUCCGUGCCAGCAGCCGCGGUAAUACGGAGGGUGCAAGCGUUAAUCGGAAUUACUGGGCGUAAAGCGCACGCAGGCGGUUUGUUAAGUCAGAUGUGAACUCCCCGGGCUCAACCUGGGAACUGCAUGUGAUACUGGCAAGCUUGAGUCUCGUAGAGGGGGGUAGAAUUACAGGGGUAGCGGUGAAAUGCGUAGAGAUCUGGAGGAAUACCGGUGGCGAAGGCGGCCCCCUGGACGAAGACUGACGCUCAGGUGCGAAAGCGUGGGGAGCAAACAGG